rnacentral:rRNA from 1 species
CUGCUGCCUCCCGUAGGAGUUUGGGCCGUGUCUCAGUCCCAAUGUGGCCGUCCACCCUCUCAGGCCGGCUACUGAUCGUCGCCUUGGGGGGCCGUUACCCCGCCAACAAGCUAAUCAGACGCGGGUCCAUCUUACACCACCGGAGUUUUUCACACAAAUCCAUGCGGCUUCGUGCGCUUAUGCGGUAUUAGCACCUAUUUCUAAGUGUUAUCCCCCAGUGUAAGGCAGGUUACCCACGCGUUACUCACCCGUCCGCCACUAAGAUUUUA